rnacentral:misc_RNA from 1 species
AAUUAAGACUCUUAAUUGGGCUAAAUUCUAUGAGAUGCUAAUUGUUCGUGAUAAAUACAAUAUUCUUCAAGUUUCAGAAAUUUUGUAAUUGGGUCCAGAAGGUUCUAAUUAAUCUCAUGCUUAGAUCUUAGCAGGACUAAAUUGUAUGGUAAAUUUUUCUUUGAGUUAAUGAUGUAUAAGUGCUAGUAGACAUGAAAAUCUAGAUGGAAAUUGAUAAUAUGUUGAUACCUAUUUUGAAUUGAUCCUUCCAAU